rnacentral:miRNA from 1 species
AACAGUUGACAGUGUCGAGAAUGAUAGUAUAAAUAUCAUUCUCGACAUUUAUAAAUGUCGUGAACGAUAUUUAUACUAUCAUUAUCGACAUUUAUA